rnacentral:rRNA from 1 species
ACUCCUACGGGAGGCAGCAGUAGGGAAUCUUCCACAAUGGGUGCAAACCUGAUGGAGCAAUGCCGCGUGAGUGAAGAAGGUCUUCGGAUCGUAAAGCUCUGUUGUUAGAGAAGAACACGUGCUAGGUAACUACUAGCGCCUUGACGGUAUCUAACCAGAAAGUCACGGCUAACUACGUGCCAGCAGCCGCGGUAAUACGUAGGUGACAAGCGUUGUCCGGAUUUAUUGGGCGUAAAGGGAGCGCAGGCGGUCUGUUUAGUCUAAUGUGAAAGCCCACGGCUUAACCGUGGAACGGCAUUGGAAACUGACAGACUUGAAUGUAGAAGAGGAAAAUGGAAUUCCAAGUGUAGCGGUGGAAUGCGUAGAUAUUUGGAGGAACACCAGUGGCGAAGGCGAUUUUCUGGUCUAACAUUGACGCUGAGGCUCGAAAGCGUGGGGAGCGAACAGGAUUAGAUACCCCUGUAGUCCCAUG